UUUUCCGUAGGAAAAUGGAAUACGUAAUGAAGCUGUUAUAUUCGUAAAGUGAAUGAUUAGAGGAAUUGUGGGACGAAACGUCUUCAACCUAUUCUCAGACUUUCGAUGAGUAUGAUGUCUUGCUUGCUUGAAUAACAUGUAGACAUUAGAUAUGAGCUUCGAGUCGGCCAUUUUUGGUAAGCAGAACUGGCUCUGUGCGAUGAACCA
rnacentral:ncRNA from 1 species